UACGUAGGGUGCGAGCGUUAAUCGGAAUUACUGGGCGUAAAGGGUGCGUAGGCGGCCGGGUAAGUCUGAUGUGAAAUCCCGCAGCUCAACUGCGGAACUGCAUCGGAUACUCUCCGGCUAGAGGAAUGGAGGGGAGACUGGAAUUCUCGGUGUAGCAGUGAAAUGCGUAGAUAUCGAGAGGAACACCGGUGGCGAAGGCGGUUCUCUGGGCCUUACCUGACGCUGAGGAGCGAAAGCGUGGGGAGCGAACAGG
rnacentral:rRNA from 1 species